rnacentral:rRNA from 1 species
UACGAGGGGGGCAAGCGUUGUUCGGAUUUAUUGGGCGUAAAGGGUGCGUAGGCGGUUUGGCAAGUCUUGUGUGAAAUCUUCGGGCUCAACCCGAAGCCUGCAUAAGAAACUGCCGGGCUUGAGUAUUGGAGAGGUGAGUGGAAUUUCCGGUGUAGCGGUGAAAUGCGUAGAUAUCGGAAGGAACACCUGUGGCGAAAGCGGCUCACUGGACAAUAACUGACGCUGAGGCACGAAAGCUAGGGGAGCAAACAGG